UGGUCCCCAAAUCCCUUGGGACAUGCUUGAGCUAUACUUGGAAAUUUCUGGUGACCCAAAGUCCCACAGGGUGUUCUGAGAGUAGGUGUCCGCUUUGGGCACAACCUCAAGCUCUUCUGAGCUGAUUUGCAUGUUGUGUCAUUAGACAAAACCCCAGGCUGCUCUCGACAUCCUUAAAGGCAGCUGGUCAGGGCCCCCGAGGAGCAGCCUCUAGUCCAGCUUUCUGAGAUGGGGUCCGGGACUCCCCUCCUGUGGAUUCUGCUGCUCUGGGCUCCAGGCUGCACUGGGGACAUUGUGCUGACCCAGUCUCCAGCCUCUUUGACCGUGUCUCCAGGGCAGAGGGCCACCAUCUCUUGCAAGACCAGUCAGAAAGUCGGUGACAUUUUGGGCAUUACCCACUAUAUUACAUGGUAUCAACAAAAAUCAGGACAGCGUCCGAGAAUGCUGAUUUAUAAAGCAUCCAGUCAAGCGUCUGGGGUCCCGGCCCGGUUCAGUGGUGGUGGGUCUGGGACUGAAUUCAGUCUCACGAUUGAUCCCGUGGAGGAUGGCGAUGCUGCCAACUAUUACUGCCAGCAGAGUAAGGAGAUGCCUCCCACGGUGCUCUGGGUCUAAACAAAAACCUCCCCAGGCGGCUGCUCAGUCAUUUCAAUGAAAAAAAAACCAGCCUUCAACUGCCAGAACUGUCAGCUCUCUAUCUUUCAGAUACAGCCUGAUCUUCUCACACUAAUUUGGAUUUUUAACUUCUCCUAUUUGCUUGAGCUCACCCAAAGAUCUCUGUAGUUGUUCAGCAACUUAAGAAUUGUGAUGUAGUUACUUUUCAUUUUUUGAUGAAGAU